GUGAUUACCCGCUGAACUUAAGCAUAUCACUAAGCGGAGGAAAAGAAACUAACAAGGAUUCCCUUAGUAACUGCGAGUGAACAGGGAUGAGCCCAGCACCGAAGCCUGUGGUCAUUUGAUUACUAGGCAAUGUGGUGUUUAGGUUAUCUCGCAGAAGCGCUGCUCCACCCUAAGUCCAAAAAUGAGUACGGUAGUACGGACAUGGCCCAAAGAGGGUGAAAGGCCCGUGGGGGUGGAGAUCAGGCAGGCCAGUGCUUCUCUGAGCAAACCUUUGAGUCGGGUUGUUUGAGAUUGCAGCCCAAAGUGGGUGGUAAACUCCAUCCAAGGCUAAAUACGUGCACGAGUCCGAUAGCGAACAAGUACCGUGAGGGAACGUUGAAAAGUACUUUGAAGAGAGAGUAAACAGUGCGUGAAACCGCUCARAGGUAAACGGGUGGAGUUGAACUGCGAACCCUGAGAAUUCAACUGGUGAGUGUGGUAUGAGCUUGGCAUGAAGGUUGGCUCUGCGGGUCUGCUUAGCUGCAGGUCUUCGCCUUUUGGUGGAGAUGCGCGAUACACUUGCCAAGUGGUGCGCGCUCGUUGAGUUACUCGGACAUACUU
rnacentral:rRNA from 1 species